UCUAUUGGAACUUUAAUAUUAGAUCUAACCUGCUCAAUGAAUGAUUUAUUUAAAUAGCCGCAGUAUUUUGACUGUGCGAAGGUAGCAUAAUCAUUUGUCUUUUAAUUGGAGGCUUGUAUGAAUGGUUGGAUGAGGGAGUAUCUUUCUUUAUAUUAUAGUAUUGAAUUUAACUUUUAGGUUAAAAGGCUUAAAUCUUUAAAUGGGACGAGAAGACCCUAUAGAAUUUUAUUUAUAUUAAUAUAUAUUUUUAAUUUUUGGUUAAUUUUUUGUUAUAUAUUAAUAAAUUUUGUUGGGGUGACAGUAAGAUUUAUUUAACUCUUAUAAUUUAUAUGCUUAUUAAUAUAUAUAUUAUUGAUCCUUUUAUUUAGGAUAAUUAGAUUAAAUUACCUUAGGGAUAACAGCGUAAUUCCAUUGGAGAGUUCUUAUUGAUAAUGGAGUUUGCGACCUCGAUGUUGGAUUAAAAUAAGAUUUAAGUGCAGAAGCUUAAUUUCUAGGUCUGUUCGACCUUUAAAAUUUUACA
rnacentral:rRNA from 1 species